rnacentral:rRNA from 1 species
AUUGAACGCUGGCGGCAGGCCUAACACAUGCAAGUCGAACGAGUGGCGGAGGGGUGAGUAAUGUCUGGGAAACUGCCCGAUGGAGGGGGAUCACUACUGGAAACGGGCGAUAAUACCGCAUAACAUGGGAUGUGCCCAGAUGGGAUUAGCGAGUAGGUGGGGUAACGGCGCACCUAGGCGACGAGCCCUAGCUGGUCUGAGAGGAUGACCAGCCACACUGGAACUGAGACACGGUCCAGACUCCUACGGGAGGCAGCAGUGGGGAAUAUUGCACAAUGGGCGAAAGCCUGAUGCAGCCAUGCCGCGUGUAUGAUGAAGGCCUUCGGGUUGUAAAGUACUUUCAGCGAGGAGGCGUUACUCGCAGAAGAAGCAUCGGCUAACUCCGUGCCAGCAGCCGCGGUAAUAC